rnacentral:lncRNA from 1 species
GGAUUAAAGGAAGUUUAGAUGAACUGAUUUGGGAAUAAACUUUUGGUAAACAAACUGUUAAGAAUCUUUCCAAACCAGCUCACUGUAUCCUCUGAAUCAUUGCCAGGGAGCAGCCGUCAUUUUCCUAAGUGAUGGUGGUAUGGGUGGAAUUUCAAGGACAAAUUAUCUCUUAUUGUCCUGUUUUUAUUUUUUAAAUUCCUCCUUUGAUCCCCAAACUCCUUUCAAUUUAUUCGAGACAUUGUAGAAAUCAUACGGACUGCAAUACUCUCCACUCUGCAGAAUGUCAAAACUCCAGGUAUGCUGAAGGUAUUAUGAGAAUCUGGUUGCUCAUGGAGACCCUUGUUGACUAGGAAGUCCCUUUUUGGUGGCCACAUCAGUGGGAGACAACAUCUUCCUUGUCAGAAGCAACCGUUUCCUAAAGUGUCAAGCCCUCACAAAUAGACAAAAUGAAGACUACAUAAGCUGUUCCCUUGAUGCUCAUCCUGCUCGACACAGAGAGAAAUCUCCCUCAGAAUGUGCUUCUAAAUACUUGCAAUGAAGAUAAUUAGGUUGGAUGAUUGUGUUAUUGCAGUGUGAGAAAUUGGAUUGAACUUGCGAUGUAACAUGGCUAAUGAAGUGAGCUCCAUUCUAGGCAGAAAACGACUCCUGACUUCUUGUCUAUGUGGUUGAACGAGAGCAGGGUACUGUUGGUUUCAGGAUAGCCUUGAAGGAUGCUUUCCACUAUAGACAGUUAGGAGACACUUAAAAGCUUCAUCAACUAAUCCAACAGGAAGAACUGUACAAUCCUGCAAGAGGAUAGAACAAAGGAAUGUUGUUAAUGCCAACCUGACAGGAUCCAGGAUCACCUAGGAGACAGACCUCUGAGCAUGUCUGUCAGGGUGUGUCUAGAUUAGGUUAACUGAGGUAAGAAGCCUACCCUAAAUUGUGUAGCACCGCCCCAUUUGUGAGGUUCCAGGACAGAACAAACAGGAGACAGUGGGCUGAGUACCAACAUCCUUCACCCUUUGCCUGUGACUUGGGAGGUGGUAAAGCCAGCUCCCUCACAUUCCUGCUGCAGCACCUUCUCUACCUUGAUGGACUGUAGUCCUCAAACUGUGAGCC